UGCCUAGCAACUCCUAUCCCUACCUCCUCGUGGUUCCAGCCGCAAACUAUGAGCAACCUUCGAGAAGAUCGGGUAACCAACACCGGUGGGAACUUUGAUCGUAAGCAGACAGGGAAGU
rnacentral:ribozyme from 1 species